GACGAACGCUGGCGGCGUGCUUAACACAUGCAAGUCGAACGCCGAAGCCCUUUCGGGGGUGGAUGAGUGGCGAACGGGUGAGUAACACGUGGGUAAUCUGCCCUGCACUCUGGGAUAAGCCUUGGAAACGGGGUCUAAUACCGGAUAGGACACAUCGCCGCAGGGGGAGUGUGUGGAAAGUUCCGGCGGUGCAGGUUGAGCCCGCGGCCUAUCAGCGUGGUGGGGGGGUGAUGGCCUACCAAGGCGACGACGGGUAGCCGGCCUGAGGGUGACCGGCCACACUGGGACUGAGACACGGCCCAGACUCCUACGGGAGGCAGCAGUGGGGAAUCUUGCGCAAUGGGCGAAAGCCUGACGCAGCAACGCCGCGUGGGGGAUGACGGCCUUCGGGUUGUAAACCUCUUUCGACCGGGACGAAGGGUGACUGACGGUACCGGUAGAAGAAGCACCGGCUAACUACGUGCCAGCCGCCGCUGUAA
rnacentral:rRNA from 1 species